UACAGAGGGUGCGAGCGUUAAUCGGAAUGACUGGGCGUAAAGGGUGCGUAGGUGGUUGUUUAAGUGUGUUGUGAAAGCCCCGGGCUUAACCUGGGAAUGGCAACGCAUACUGAAUGACUAGAGUAGGUGAGAGGCGUGUGGAAUUUCCGGUGUAGCGGUGAAAUGCGUAGAGAUCGGAUAGAACACCAGUGGCGAAGGCGGCACGCUGGCACCAUACUGACACUGAGGCACGAAGGCGUGGGGAGCAAACAGGAUUAGAUACCCUGGUAGUCCACGCAGUAAACGAUGAGAACUGGAUGAGUGCGGAGUUAAAUCCGUGCGUAUCGAAGCUAACGCGUUAAGUUCUCCGCCUGGGGAGUACGGCCGCAAGGUUAAA
rnacentral:rRNA from 1 species